ACCUCAAUGGCUUAAUGGUAUAGUGUAGCACAUGAAUUAUCGCAUGCACCGAGGACAUGUUGCUAAGGUUCUGUGUUCUACUCACGGUUGAGGUG